AACGAACGCUGGCGGCAGGCUUAACACAUGCAAGUCGAGCGCCCCGCAAGGGGAGCGGCAGACGGGUGAGUAACGCGUGGGAAUCUACCUUUUGCUACGGAAUAACUCAGGGAAACUUGUGCUAAUACCGUAUGUGCCCUUCGGGGGAAAGAUUUAUCGGCAAAGGAUGAGCCCGCGUUGGAUUAGCUAGUUGGUGAGGUAAAGGCUCACCAAGGCGACGAUCCAUAGCUGGUCUGAGAGGAUGAUCAGCCACACUGGGACUGAGACACGGCCCAGACUCCUACGGGAGGCAGCAGUGGGGAAUAUUGGACAAUGGGCGCAAGCCUGAUCCAGCCAUGCCGCGUGAGUGAUGAAGGCCCUAGGGUUGUAAAGCUCUUUCAACGGUGAAGAUAAUGACGGUA
rnacentral:rRNA from 1 species